UAGAAAGGACAAGGGUCCAAUGAUCCAGAC
rnacentral:piRNA from 1 species